rnacentral:rRNA from 1 species
GGGUUGUGAGGUUAAGCGACUAAGCGUACACGGUGGAUGCCCUGGCAGUCAGAGGCGAUGAAGGACGUGCUAAUCUGCGAUAAGCGUCGGUAAGGUGAUAUGAACCGUUAUAACCGGCGAUUUCCGAAUGGGGAAACCCAGUGUGAUUCGUCACACUAUCAUUAACUGAAUCCAUAGGUUAAUGAGGCGAACCGGGGGAACUGAAACAUCUAAGUACCCCGAGGAAAAGAAAUCAACCGAGAUUCCCCCAGUAGCGGCGAGCGAACGGGGAGCAGCCCAGAGCCUGAAUCAGUGUGUGUGUUAGUGGAAGCGUCUGGAAAGGCGCGCGAUACAGGGUGACAGCCCCGUACACAAAAAUGCACAUGCUGUGAGCUCGAUGAGUAGGGCGGGACACGUGGUAUCCUGUCUGAAUAUGGGGGGACCAUCCUCCAAGGCUAAAUACUCCUGACUGACCGAUAGUGAACCAGUACCGUGAGGGAAAGGCGAAAAGAACCCCGGCGAGGGGAGUGAAAAAGAACCUGAAACCGUGUACGUACAAGCAGUGGGAGCACAGAGCAAUCUGUGUGACUGCGUACCUUUUGUAUAAUGGGUCAGCGACUUAUAUUCUGUAGCAAGGUUAACCGAAUAGGGGAGCCGAAGGGAAACCGAGUCUUAACUGGGCGUUAAGUUGCAGGGUAUAGACCCGAAACCCGGUGAUCUAGCCAUGGGCAGGUUGAAGGUUGGGUAACACUAACUGGAGGACCGAACCGACUAAUGUUGAAAAAUUAGCGGAUGACUUGUGGCUGGGGGUGAAAGGCCAAUCAAACCGGGAGAUAGCUGGUUCUCCCCGAAAGCUAUUUAGGUAGCGCCUCGUGAAUUCAUCUCCGGGGGUAGAGCACUGUUUCGGCAAGGGGGUCAUCCCGACUUACCAACCCGAUGCAAACUGCGAAUACCGGAGAAUGUUAUCACGGGAGACACACGGCGGGUGCUAACGUCCGUCGUGAAGAGGGAAACAACCCAGACCGCCAGCUAAGGUCCCAAAGUCAUGGUUAAGUGGGAAACGAUGUGGGAAGGCCCAGACAGCCAGGAUGUUGGCUUAGAAGCAGCCAUCAUUUAAAGAAAGCGUAAUAGCUCACUGGUCGAGUCGGCCUGCGCGGAAGAUGUAACGGGGCUAAACCAUGCACCGAAGCUGCGGCAGCGACGCUGAUGCGUUGUUGGGUAGGGGAGCGUUCUGUAAGCCUGUGAAGGUGUACUGUGAGGUAUGCUGGAGGUAUCAGAAGUGCGAAUGCUGACAUAAGUAACGAUAAAGCGGGUGAAAAGCCCGCUCGCCGGAAGACCAAGGGUUCCUGUCCAACGUUAAUCGGGGCAGGGUGAGUCGACCCCUAAGGCGAGGCCGAAAGGCGUAGUCGAUGGGAAACAGGUUAAUAUUCCUGUACUUGGUGUUACUGCGAAGGGGGGACGGAGAAGGCUAUGUUGGCCGGGCGACGGUUGUCCCGGUUUAAGCGUGUAGGCUGGUUUUCCAGGCAAAUCCGGAAAAUCAAGGCUGAGGCGUGAUGACGAGGCACUACGGUGCUGAAGCAACAAAUGCCCUGCUUCCAGGAAAAGCCUCUAAGCAUCAGGUAACAUCAAAUCGUACCCCAAACCGACACAGGUGGUCAGGUAGAGAAUACCAAGGCGCUUGAGAGAACUCGGGUGAAGGAACUAGGCAAAAUGGUGCCGUAACUUCGGGAGAAGGCACGCUGAUAUGUAGGUGAAGUCCCUCGCGGAUGGAGCUGAAAUCAGUCGAAGAUACCAGCUGGCUGCAACUGUUUAUUAAAAACACAGCACUGUGCAAACACGAAAGUGGACGUAUACGGUGUGACGCCUGCCCGGUGCCGGAAGGUUAAUUGAUGGGGUCAGCGCAAGCGAAGCUCUUGAUCGAAGCCCCGGUAAACGGCGGCCGUAACUAUAACGGUCCUAAGGUAGCGAAAUUCCUUGUCGGGUAAGUUCCGACCUGCACGAAUGGCGUAAUGAUGGCCAGGCUGUCUCCACCCGAGACUCAGUGAAAUUGAACUCGCUGUGAAGAUGCAGUGUACCCGCGGCAAGACGGAAAGACCCCGUGAACCUUUACUAUAGCUUGACACUGAACAUUGAGCCUUGAUGUGUAGGAUAGGUGGGAGGCUUUGAAGUGUGGACGCCAGUCUGCAUGGAGCCGACCUUGAAAUACCACCCUUUAAUGUUUGAUGUUCUAACGUUGACCCGUGAUCCGGGUUGCGGACAGUGUCUGGUGGGUAGUUUGACUGGGGCGGUCUCCUCCUAAAGAGUAACGGAGGAGCACGAAGGUUGGCUAAUCCUGGUCGGACAUCAGGAGGUUAGUGCAAUGGCAUAAGCCAGCUUGACUGCGAGCGUGACGGCGCGAGCAGGUGCGAAAGCAGGUCAUAGUGAUCCGGUGGUUCUGAAUGGAAGGGCCAUCGCUCAACGGAUAAAAGGUACUCCGGGGAUAACAGGCUGAUACCGCCCAAGAGUUCAUAUCGACGGCGGUGUUUGGCACCUCGAUGUCGGCUCAUCACAUCCUGGGGCUGAAGUAGGUCCCAAGGGUAUGGCUGUUCGCCAUUUAAAGUGGUACGCGAGCUGGGUUUAGAACGUCGUGAGACAGUUCGGUCCCUAUCUGCCGUGGGCGCUGGAGAACUGAGGGGGGCUGCUCCUAGUACGAGAGGACCGGAGUGGACGCAUCACUGGUGUUCGGGUUGUCAUGCCAAUGGCACUGCCCGGUAGCUAAAUGCGGAAGAGAUAAGUGCUGAAAGCAUCUAAGCACGAAACUUGCCCCGAGAUGAGUUCUCCCUGACUCCUUGAGAGUCCUGAAGGAACGUUGAAGACGACGACGUUGAUAGGCCGGGUGUGUAAGCGCAGCGAUGCGUUGAGCUAACCGGUACUAAUGAACCGUGAGGCUUAACCUUACAACGCCGAAG